UUGGACCGGGUCUUGAGUCUAAAAUCAUCUACUCGUGAGAGCUUUCCAUAGACACCAAGAACGCCGAAAUCCAUCGAGCGGUUUGUCCGAUUUUUGCUCGGGAAGAUUUUAGCCCAUUUCGACUUUUGGGCUAGAUUUCUCGAAAACCGUGAAUCCCACGAGGAAACCGAGACCACCAGCACGCUCCAUUCGUCGAGAGCUUCGCAACGACAUAAAUUUCGAAUUUUUCCGACACCGUUUUUCGAUGGGUCCCACGGAACUUCGCAGUGUAUCCUCGAUUCGCGGAAAUUCGACAGUUGACCGGGUCUGCAAAUUUCGGGCCAGACAGACCCGUGACCGGAAAAGUCUCCGAAUUGGGCCGAGGUUUUGGCUAGCCCCCCAUUGUCAGACGUCCCGAGCGCGUUCCCGAAGUCGGAAUCGGCAAAGGUAAACCCGAACCUUGCUUUUUCGUAAUUUUCUAGUGCUUAAAUAGGAUUAAAAAUCCAUAAAAUAUUCGUGGUAGCUUAGAAAAUUACGAUUCUUUUUGCAAUAGCUUAGUAAUAUUGCUAAGGACCGCGGGGCAAAGUUUUAUAAUUUUUAGAGCUUGUUUGGGCAGUUUUUGCAAAAAUGAUCAAUAAUAAGGACUAAAUUGAAAUUUUGCGUAUUGUGAUGGAUGAUUGAUUUGAUGGGCCCAGGAGGGGCUGUGUGAUAUGAUUGAACUGUUGAUGUAUGGAUUGUGAGUAUAGAAGUGCGUUUUUAGCCCUUUUGCAGGUUGGGUAGGUCCUAGGUAUAGGGGAGACUCUGCCGGAUUUUCGGCACGACUUAGGACGUAAUUGGUCUUUUUCUUUAUUUGUAUUGAGUCAGAUUGUAUUAAAUAAAUGUAAUAUGAUUGUCAGA